UACAGGUCCUGUUGUUGGGUUGAUGCCCUUCUGCGGCCCUGUCCAGCUCUCCUUGUGUUACAGCCCAUCUCCUGGUAUCUCUAUGCUCUUGAGACUGUACUGGGAGACACAGCAAACCUUCUCACGACAGCACGCAUUGAUGUGCCAUCCAGGAGGAGCUGGACUCCCUGUGCAUCCUGAAUGGGCUUCAGGAUGGAGCAAACACAGUACUCCACGGCACCAGAGGCGCUCCACAGCACCAUGAGGAGGACUGCUAUAAUGACAAGAAGGCAGAGCUUCGCAAAGUUUUAGCUCUGCACAUGAAGAAGAUCAAGCGUCUGACUGUAGUGAUUGUCCAGCUGAGGGUACAGCUGGCUCUACAAUCAGG